rnacentral:lncRNA from 1 species
CCCCCACCACCAGAUUUCACUUCCCUGCAGGCUUUAUUGUUCUGUCUCUGGGACCUAGCAGGUGACCCUGGGCAAGUUACUUCUCAUUUGUCCGGCAAGGACGCUAAACUCUGCCUUGCUGGGUCAGGGUCAUGGAGGGGAUGAAAUGUGAUAACACGAGGAAGCAGCCUGGGCUUCAGAGGCAGUAGAUCCUGGUCUGGUCCCAGCUCAGUGUGUGGGAACCUUGGUCACCGAACGUCCCUGAGUGAAUUUUUUUCCAUCACUUUAAAGUUGGGGGUAUUAUUGAUAGCAGUCCAAACCCCACAGGAGUACCCUGAGGACAGAGUGAGACGAGGUUUAGAGAAGUGCUUACUAUGGCAUCUGGCACAAGGAGGACUCCUGAUCAAUCUAAUACUCAUUUAUCAUUGUGGUUAACCUGUUUAAGGGACUCCGCAUGCAGAUGAGGCUUGGGAUGUGUUUGUUUUCUACCUUUUUGCAACCUCUUUUAUUGGUCUGUGUCGGUUUUCCCCUCCCAAAGCUGGGGGCAGGGUUGGGCUUUAUAAAACUUGAGCCCCUCUGGGGACUGGGUUCUCAGCAAGUUACCGCUCCUGCCAUCAUGCCACCCUGAUGGAUGUCCAAGCCUCACUUCCCUCCUGCACUCCCCGCUCCCGCCGCCGUCCCUGGGAUUAAGGGAGAGGAGAAUGGCUGCUUGUUACUGCCUACCUACUCUGUGCCAGGUUCUAUGCUCUGUGUUAUUUAUCAUCUCGAUAACCCCAUGGGGAAGAUGUCCAGCUCGCCGCUGUCCAAGAAACGUCGCGUGUCCGGGCCUGAUCCAAAGCCGGGUUCUAACUGCUCCCCUGCCCAGUCCGUGUUGUCCGAAGUGCCCUCGGUGCCAACCAACGGAAUGGCCAAGAACGGCAGUGAAGCAGACAUAGACGAGGGCCUUUACUCCCGGCAGCUGUAAGU